CAGACCAUUCUGGGCUGCCUCA
rnacentral:miRNA from 4 species